rnacentral:rRNA from 1 species
AGCGAACGCUGGCGGCAGGCCUAACACAUGCAAGUCGAACGAAGUCUUCGGACUUAGUGGCGGACGGGUGAGUAACACGUGGGAACGUGCCUUUAGGUUCGGAAUAACUCAGGGAAACUUGUGCUAAUACCGAAUGUGCCCUUCGGGGGAAAGAUUUAUCGCCUUUAGAGUGGCCCGCGUCUGAUUAGCUAGUUGGUGAGGUAAGGCUCACCAAGGCGACGAUCAGUAGCUGGUCUGAGAGGAUGAUCAGCCACAUUGGGACUGAGACACGGCCCAAACUCCUACGGGAGGCAGCAGUGGGGAAUCUUGCGCAAUGGGCGAAAGCCUGACGCAGCCAUGCCGCGUGAAUGAUGAAGGUCUUAGGAUUGUAAAAUUCUUUCACCGGGGACGAUAAUGACGGUACCCGGAGAAGAAGCCCCGGCUAACUUCGUGCCAGCCGCCGCCGUAA